rnacentral:lncRNA from 1 species
UUCCUAUCGACUCUUGGAUGGCAUUGGCUUUGGAACGCCAUUCGGGAGUGAGACUCCGCAGGAUUUUUCGAACAAGAUCUUUGUUCGAAUAUACUUUCGCAAGAGCAUGGAGAUCGUUGAUGAUCAUUGAGAAUCGAUCAAACAUAUCAUCGAUGCUUUCAGGCUCCUUCAUUCUAAAGAGUUCAUAUUCAUGUCUUAGAAAAUCAACUCU